UACAGAGGGUGCGAGCGUUGUCCGGAAUCACUGGGCGUAAAGGGCGCGUAGGUGGCGGGCCAAGUCUGUGGUGAAAGCUCGAUGCUCAACAUCGAGUCGGCCACGGAUACUGGUUCGCUGGAGCACUGUAGAGGCAGAUGGAAUUCCGGGUGUAGCGGUGGAAUGCGUAGAGAUCCGGAAGAACACCAGUGGCGAAGGCGGCCUGCUGGGCAGUUGCUGACACUGAGGCGCGACAGCGUGGGGAGCAAACAGGG
rnacentral:rRNA from 1 species